CCAGUCUUAUGAAAUUUUCUCAAAUUUGCAGCAACCUUGUUACGAAACAAUCUGUUUGAAAGGCUUUCACACCUUUGUCAGUCCUUGAAUUUUAGUAUGUUAAAAUAGACUGAAUAUUAACAUUCUUAUCUGGAUUUCUUGUUAACAUUUAAGCAGGUUUGUAGAGAAAACAACAACCAUGGGUCUAGAAGAAUGCUAUUCACAUCGAUAUAACUCUAAGCCGGCCGAGAUCUACUCCUGUUAUUUAUUUGAACUGUGUGAAUCAGAGGGCCACAAAUGAAAGCUUGAAGAGAAUAAAGGUUUCACCUGCUACUACUAUUAUUGCUGCAACUGAUUUAUCUGUUGUGAAAUAGGUGUGCAAGUGGCAGCGACGAUCCGAAUUGUUCUACACCCAAAAGGAUGUUGAUGUUGUGAGGUCAGAGUGGGCUAAGUUUGUGAUGAAGUAUCAUAUUGCAUAGCUGUGAUGGUUGUUCAAGGCAGGGCUCUUAUUUUGGUAUUUUGAUCACCUGCCUCCUGCUA